rnacentral:rRNA from 1 species
UACGGAGGGGGCGAGCGUUAUUCGGAAUUAUUGGGCGUAAAGGGCGCGUAGGCGGCGCGAUAAGUCAAAGGUGAAAUUCCUCGGCUCAACUGAGGAACUGCCUUUGAGACUGUCGUGCUCGAGGCCGGGAGGGGGUAGCGGAAUUCCCCAGUGUAGCGGUGAAAUGCGUAGAUAUUGGGAGGAACACCAGUGGCGAAGGCGGCUACCUGGACCGGUUCGUGCAACGCUGAUAGCGCGAAAGCGUGGGUAGCAACAGG